rnacentral:lncRNA from 1 species
UCAUUUUUUACUGGAAAUGCUUAGUUUGGAUGUCAAUUUACAACCACAAUCCUUUGUCUUGAAACUUAGUUUUUAAUGGCAUUGAGUAUAUCCUGGUGCUUAAAAAAUUAAUUUAUGGCUACUACUUCAUGAAGUGUAAUUUGACCUAUCAAUUUUUGAAGAUAAGGUAAUUUGGUAUUGUAUGGAUUUAUAUCAGUUUGUGUGUGAUUUUUCUAACCCAACCUAAUCUACCAAGAUGAUAGCAU